rnacentral:misc_RNA from 1 species
AAGCAGAGGCGUGGCGUUUAUUUGUGAAAGUGGUUGGUGAUGUUACGAAUCAGGACUUGCGCUCUAUAGCAACUGAAGUAGCAAAAAAAUGUGCAGGUUUGCCCGUCUUAAUUGUUACAGUUGCAGGAGCUUUGAAAAAUCGGGACUUGAACGAAUGGAAUGUUGCUUUGAAAGAGUUAUCUAAGGUUGACAAUGAAGGAAUUCAGUCAAAAGUAUACGCAACUCUGAAGUUGAGCUACAACCAUUUGGCUAGUGAAGAACUGAAGUCUUUUUUUCUUGCUUUGUGCUCAAAUUGCUCAGAGUGAUAUUCAAAUCGGGGACUUGCUGUUGUACAGUAUGGGUUUGGAUUUGC